GCCUGGGUGGCUCAGUCAGUUGAGCGUCUGACUUCGGCUCAGGUCAUGAUCUCGCAGUCUGUGAGUUCGAGCCCCGCAUCAAGCU
rnacentral:tRNA from 1 species